AUUGUGGGCAUUAUAUAAGACUGAAGCCUGUCCACUCUUACCUGCAGACCUGCUCCGUAUCUACUAAACAACACGCUUCCUCUUUUGUGACUCGUUCAGACACAAACACUGCAGCAAUGCCUCUUCCUGGUGCAUGCCUGAACAUUAUGGAGGCUCGUCACAAGCAGAAGGGAUAUGGGAGCAUCUCCAACCCUGAAAGGUUCUGUAACCAAGACUUCAAGAACCUGAAACAGUACUGUCUAAUCAAAGGAGUAAGGUACCUCGAUGACAUGUUCCCCCCUGAUGCAAAGUCUAUUGGCCAGGGGAUACUGAAGCCCUCCGACCUGGCCCACGUGAAGUGGCUAAGACCUGCGCAAAUUGCUCCUGAUGCUGAAUUUGUGGUUGAUGGCGUGUCCAGAUUUGACUUUGGUCAAGGUGUACUUGGAAACUGCUGGUUUCUUGCAUCAAUCGGCGCACUGACUUUCCAGAAUCACAUUUUUGAACAAGUUGUUCCGCUCGACCAAAAAAUCAAAGAGAACUACUGUGGCAUUUUUCACUUCAGGUUCUGGAGAUUCGGGCGGUGGGUGGACGUUGUCAUUGAUGACAAGUUGCCGACGAUCAAUGGCAGACUAAUCUUUGUUCACUCCACAGAUCCAAAUGAGUUCUGGCCUGCUCUGCUUGAGAAAGCUUAUGCCAAGGUUUGUGGUUCCUACACCGACAUGACUUCUGGAACUCCUUCAGAGGCUAUGAUGGAUUUCACCGGUGGCGUCCACAUGUGCGUCCAGCUGUCGGACGCCAGUUCAGAUGUGUGGGGGCUGAUAUGCAGAGCUGGCAAAUCCAACACAUUGAUGGGCUGUGGUACACCUCAAGGGGAAACAUCUGCUAACACAGUUUUGCCAAAUGGACUGGUCCAAGGGCACGCCUACACUGUGACAGGGGUUAAAGAGCUUAUUAGCCAAGGAAAACUUGUGAAGCUGAUCCGUUUGUGGAACCCCUGGGGCAAAGGAGAGUGGGUAGGAGACUGGAGUGAUCGGUCACCCAUGUGGGACGUUGUGAAUUCUCAAGACCGCCAAAUGUGCCUUUCAGUGGCUGAUGAUGGAGAGUUUUGGAUGGCAUUUGAAGAUUUCUGUAAGUUCUACACAGAUCUUGACAUCUGUGGCCUGAAACCAGACUUCAUAGAUGGAAAAUCCUCUGCUCAGUGGAAGACCUCUGUGUACGAGGGUCGGUGGGUUGCUGGAACUACUGCUGGAGGCUGCAUAAAUAACAGAGACACUUUCUGGACAAAUCCACAGUAUCGAAUUAAGGUCGUAGGUGAAAACUCAGAGACCAAUGGGGAGAAAAACAUCCUAGUGUCUCUCAUGCAAAAGCCUGACAAGAGGAACAGACGCCUGGUGCAGAACCUCCACAUUGGUUUUUCUGUAUAUUUGGUGUCUGAAGACUACAAAACGCAAAGUGGGAAGUUUCCAGCAAUGUUCUUCAACACCCAUCUGCCUGUUGCUCGGAGUGAUAAAUACAUGAAUGCCCGUGAGGUGAUAGAGUUCCUUAUGCUGAAGCCUGGUGAAUACCUGAUUGUGCCAUCCACCUUCAAACCCAACGAGACAGCCUCCUUCAUCCUCACCAUCCACUCAAGAGAAGAGACGUGUUGCUAUGAGAAUUCAAAUUCAAAUGAGCAAAGAUAUGAGCCAGUUGAAAAGGUCACAAAAGUAAAAAACCAUCAGGAUGAAGAAAACAAGAAAACAUUCUUCCGUCAAUACUCUGACAAGUAUGAAGAAGUGGAUGCUGAGCAGCUCCAGAGGCUUCUAAAUGAAAACAUCCUGAAAGGAGAAAUGAAAUCUGGAGGGUUCAGCCUUGAUGCCUGUCGCAGCAUGGUGGCUCUAAUGGAUACGUCGAUCACAGGCAAACUAAACAGUGAGGAAUUUGUCCGUCUGUGGAACAAGGUCACCAAAUACAAGUCUUCUCUUAUCAGGAGACUUUCUUCCUCACCGACGUUUCAAAAACAGGAACGCUGUCACUGAGUGAGCUGAGGAAUGCAUUUGUAGCUUCAGGAAUGAAGGUUUCAGAUGACAUGCUCAGUCUGAUGGCUCUGCGCUAUGGCGCCUCCUCUGGACACAUGGCACUGGAGUGCUUCAUCAGUCUCAUGAUUCGCUUGGACUGCAUGAAGAAAAUCUUCAAACAGUUGUCUGAUGGAAAAUCCAUUCAUCUCAAGGAGUCAGAGUGGAUGUACGUUUCCAUGUACACUUAAGCCAGCUGAAAGACAGAUGCACGUUUCAUCUGGAAAACACAAGAAGAUAUUUCAAAAACUUGUUUUCUGUGAAUUAGCUAUAACACUUUAGUACUUUGAAACAACUAAACACAAUAAUGUGAAACUAUAACAAACACUAACAUUUAAAGCUGUAAACCUUAUGCCUCUCUGCAUAUUAUGUCAAAGACUGAAUAGCUGCAUUUUUUUGUGACUAGUACUGCAAACUUGUCAAUCUGUGUUUUAUAAUAGAAACAUAAUACAGAUGUUCGUGAAUGACAUGGGACUAUUGUAUCAGUCAAAAAUGAAUGAAGUGGAUGGGAAAUUAAACUGAUAAGAUAACUACAAAAACUCGGAAAAUGGAAAUUCAAAGGAAGAAAAUGUCAAAUUUAACUAGUACAUUUGUUUUUAUAUGUAAUUUUCUAUAUCAGCUGCUUUUUAAAAUUCCUUUUAUAUUGGGGAAAGGAAGUACCAAACUUCAGUGGGUCAGUUUCAAUAGUGAGAGGUUGCGUUCUCCUCCUUUCAAUGAAGCAUUGCCUUUGUGAUCUUCAGCAAUUUUCUUUUUUCCAGCAGCUGGGAUUUUUUUUAAUCUUAUCAUUUGUUUUGUGGGUUUUGAUAUAUUUAGCUGCAUAAUUGCCUGUUAAAGUUACAUUUUCUUAAUAAAAUCAUGUGUUAUUUUGUAGAUUUGCCGUCUUUGAUUUUUCUUUGAGAGAUCUUUUUUUACCCAGACACUUUUAUAGAUACUUCCCUUUAUUACAUUGAAUGCUUUAGACAUACUAAAAAACGUCUAAAGCAUUUAGACAUUUGCUUACAUAAGGAUGUCUAUAAAUGCAGGUGACACCGAGGCACCCUAGGCAGUAGGUCAAUGAUCAAUUUUUAUUAACGUAUCACCAGACCUGUGGCCAUAUGUUCUGAGCACUCGGGUGAAGGGUCGGGCUGAGCUGUCAACUGAUCAGUUGUGAGUUGGAUUAGGUGGUGGAAGAUGAUGCUGGACAGACCUAGCAGUAUAGUGAGGGUGUGCUGGGAAUGCUUAGCAAAGGUCCUGGUCCGCGAGAUCUUCAACUCACACCACCGGCAGAGCUGCAACAGCAUUCCAAGGGAGAUUGGGGGACACUGAGUCCAAAUGGACCGUGUUCAGCGCCUCCAUUGCUAAAGCCGCUGCGGCUGCAAGGUGAUUGGUGUCUGUUGUGGUGGUAACCCCCGAACCAAAUGGAGGAAACCCGAGGUGAAGGGAGCCACCAGACUGAAGGAGAAGUCCUAUUGGGCUUGGUUAGCCCGUGGGACUUUGGAAGCAGCCAGUAGGUGCCAACAGGCCAAGCAGAAUAUGGCUUGGGCAGUGCCUGAAGCAAAAAUUCGGGUAUGAGAGGAGUUUGGAAAGGCCAUUGAAAAAGACUUUCAAACUGAUGGAAAACUGUUGAGCAACUUGGGAGGGGAAAGCGAUACUCUACCUGCACUGUGUAUAGUGCAGGCGGAACGUAGCUGACUUCAACUGAGAACAUUGUUGGGUGGUGGAAGGAAUACUUCGAGGACCUCCUUAAUAUCAAUGGCACAUCUUCUGCUGAGGAAGCAGAGUGUUGGGAAGAGGAGGACAACUCGUUUAUAUUUGAGGGUGAGGUCACUGAGGCAGUAAAACAACUCCUUGGUUGCAGGGCCCCUGGGGUGGAUGAGGAUCGCCCUGAGUUGCUAAGGGCUUUGGGUGUUGUAGGGCAGUCUUGGUUGACACACCUCCAAAUGUUCCAUGGAGAUCGGGGGCGGUACAUCUGGACUGCUAGACCAGAGUGGUGGUUCACAUCUUUAAGAACGGGGACCGGAGGGUGUAUUCCAACUAUAAGGGGAUCACACUCCUCAGCCUCCCCGGGAAAGUCUAUGCCAGUGUUGGAAAGAAGAGUCCGUUUGUUAGUCGAAUCUUAAAUACAGGAGGAACAAAGCGAUUUUCGUCCUGGUCGUGAAGAACUUGCAACUUAGAAAUGUAUUUAUUGUCAUUGUACAGUGUAACACUGGACCAGCUCUUUAGCCUCUCAAGGAUACUUGGGGGUGCAUGGGAAUUUGUCCAACUAGUCCACAUGUGUUUUGUGGACUUGGAAAAGACAUUCGACUGUGUCCCUCAGAGUGUGGGAGGUGCUUUGGUAGUAUUGAUUGUCUUGCCCAUUGCUACAGGCCAUUCAAUCCUUAUACAACCAUUGCAAGAGCUUGGUGCCCAUAGCGGUCAUCUGGUUCUGUUGGCUUUAUGGGGUGGUUUCCAGCUCGCACUGGAAAGGUUCACAGCUGAGUUUAAAGUGGUGGAAAUGAGAAUCAGCACCUCCAAAUCUGAGGCCAUGGUCCUGAGCUGGAAAAGGGUGGAGUGCCCACUCCGGGUCAUGGAUGAGUUCCUGCCCCAAGUAGAGGAGUUCAAGUAUCUUGUUCCCAAGUGAUGGGAGAAAGGAAUGGGAGAUCAACAGAUGUAUUGGUGCUGCGGCUGCAGUGAUGCAGACACUAUUCUGGUCCGUCGUGGUGAAGAGAGAGCGGAGCAUAAAAGCAAAGCUCUCGAUCUACCGAUUGAUUACUACCUUCACCUAUGGUCACGAGAUGUUGUGACCGAAUGAACGAGAUUGCAGAUACAAGCGGCGGAAAUGGCUCCCUCUGAAGGGUGGCUGGCCUCUCCCUUCGCGAUAAGGUGAGGAGUUCGGCCACCCAGGAGGGGCUCAAAGUAGAGCCGCUGCUCCUCCACAUCGAAAGGAGUCAGUUGAGGCUGUGAGGGCAUCUCAUAAGGAUGCCUCCUGGGUGAGGUGUUCCAGGCAUGUCCCACUGGGAGGAGGCCCCAGGGCAGACAUAGGGCACACUGGA